GAUGAACGCUGGCGGCGUGCCUAAUACAUGCAAGUCGAGCGAACGGACGAGAAGCUUGCUUCUCUGAUGUUAGCGGCGGACGGGUGAGUAACACGUGGAUAACCUACCCAUAAGACUGGGAUAACUUCGGGAAACCGUAGCUAAUACCGGAUAAUAUUUUGAACCGCAUGGUUCAAAAGUGAAAGACGGUCUUGCUGUCACUUAUAGAUGGAUCCGCGCUGCAUUAGCUAGUUGGUAAGGUAACGGCUUACCAAGGCAACGAUGCAUAGCCGACCUGAGAGGGUGAUCGGCAACACUGGAACUGAGACACGGUCCAGACUCCUACGGGAGGCAGCAGUAGGGAAUCUUCCGCAAUGGGCGAAAGCCUGACGGAGCAACGCCGCGUGAGUGAUGAAGGUCUUCGGAUCGUAAAACUCUGUUAUUAGGGAAGAACAUAUGUGUAAGUAACUGUGCACAUCUUGACGGUACCUAAUCAGAAAGCCACGGCUAACUACGUG
rnacentral:rRNA from 1 species